CGGCCCAGACUCCUACGGGAGGCAGCAGUGGGGAUAUUGCACAAUGGAGGAAACUCUGAUGCAGCGAUGCCGCGUGGAGGAAGAAGGUCUUCGGAUUGUAAACUCCUGUUAUCGGGGACGAAGAUGACGGUACCCGACGAGGAAGCUCCGGCUAACUACGUGCCAGCAGCCGCGGUAAUACGUAGGGAGCGAGCGUUGUCCGGAAUUACUGGGUGUAAAGGGAGCGUAGGCGGGGUAGCAAGUCAGGUGUGAAAACUAUGGGCUCAACCCAUAGACUGCACUUGAAACUGUUAUUCUUGAGUGAAGUAGAGGUAAGCGGAAUUCCUAGUGUAGCGGUGAAAUGCGUAGAUAUUAGGAGGAACAUCAGUGGCGAAGGCGGCUUACUGGGCUUUUACUGACGCUGAGGCUCGAAAGCGUGGGGAGCAAACAGGAUUAGAUACCCUGGUAGUCCACGCUGUAAACGAUGAUUACUAGGUGUGGGGGGACUGACCCCUU
rnacentral:rRNA from 1 species